rnacentral:rRNA from 1 species
GCCGAACGCUGGCGGCGUGCCUAAUACAUGCAAGUCGAACGCAGAGGGGACGGGUGAGUAACACGUGGGUAACCUCCCAUCAGAGGGGAUAACACUUGGAAACAGGUGCUAAACCGAUACUGAUGGAUGGACCCGCUGUGCAUUAGCUAGUUGGUGAGGUAACGGCGCACCAAGGCCAUGAUGCAUAGCGGGCCUCAGAGGCGGAUCGGCAACACUGGGACGGAGAGACGGCCCAGACUCCUACGUUAGGCAUCAUUAUGGAAUCUUCGGCAAUGGACGAAAGUCUGACCGAGCAACGUCGCGUGAGUGAAGAAGGUUUGCGGAUCGUAAAACUCUUUUGGUAGAGAAGCGGUAUCUAACCAGAAAGCCACGGCUAACUACGUGCCAGCAGCCGCGGUAAUUC